GGCUCAAUGGUCUAGUAGUAUGAUUCCUGCUUCGGGUUAUGCCCCCACGAACUAGUGGAAUAUGCAGGAGGUCCCGGGUUCAAUUCCCGGUUGAGCCC